UACGUAGGGGGCAAGCGUUGUCCGGAUUUACUGGGCGUAAAGAGCGCGUAGGCGGAAGUUUAAGUGUGGCCUGAAAGCCCCCGGCUCAACCGGGGAGGGUGGCUGCAAACUGGGCUUCUUGAGGGCGAUAGAGGAAGGUAGAAUUCCGGGUGUAGCGGUGAAAUGCGUAGAGAUCCGGAGGAAUACCAGUGGCGAAGGCGGCCUUCUGGGUCGACCCUGACGCUGAGGCGCGAAAGCGUGGGGAGCGAACGGG
rnacentral:rRNA from 1 species